AUCUACGGCCAUACCACCCUGAACGCACCCAAUCCGGUCCAGUCUCAGAAGUCAAGCGGGGUCGGGCCGGGUUAGACUUGGACGGGAGACUCACACAGUACCCAACCUUCUGUGCCUG
rnacentral:rRNA from 1 species